rnacentral:rRNA from 1 species
UCGCUCUUUGUAAUUUAUAAAUAGGGAGUNGUACCUGCCCAGUGAAUUUAAUUUUAACGGCCGCAGUAUUACAACUGUGCUAAGGUAGCGCAAUAAAUCGCCUUUUAAUUGGAGGCUUGUAUGAAUGGUUUGAUGGAGUUAGGCUGUCUCUAUUUUUUUAACUAGAAAUUAAUUUUUAAGUGAAAAAGCUUAAAUCAAAUUAAAAGACGAAAAGACCCUAUCGAGCUUAAGACUAAGUUAAUAAUGUAUUUUUAGAAUAAAUUCUUACUAUUAAUAUAGUUUUUUGUUGGGGAGACAGAAGAACAAAUAAAGCUUCUUCCUAUUAAUUUUACUCAUAAGUAAAAAUGACCCGUUUUUUAACGUCUAUAAGAAAAAGUUACCGUAGGGAUAACAGCGUAAUUCUUCUGAAGAUGACAUCAAUAGAAAAGUUUGCGACCUCGAUGUUGGAUUGGAGACCCUGCUAGGUGGAGCCAUUUAGCUUAGGAGGUCUGUUCNACCUUUAAAUUUCCACA